GUAUUUAAGGAUCGAAUUCCACAAAGUUCUUUUCUUCAAACAAUAAGUUCAAUGUCAAGAUUAAGCUAGAAGGGUAUGAUCGAAAUAAUAAGAAAACAAAGGAAGAAAACAGUAGAUUGUUUCGUUGUAAACGAUUAAAUAAAAAGCUAGGAACAGGGUAUUCUCAUGAAACUAUUGGUUAGUAGAUCUAAUGAAAGCUAGGUUGUUAUCGAACCAUUCUUAAACUCAAACUCUAAUUAUGGAAUAACUGGUGGUGUUCCGCAAAACUCCCUAUAAUUAUAGCUAAGAAUAACCGGAGAAUUCGAGAGAUUAUUAACCUAAAUAUGCAUUCUUAACGAGUUCGAUUGUUCACCUUAGUAGAUAGGCCAAUUUUUAUUACACACCUAUAAACCAGGCUCAUCAAAUAAUAGAUCCAACUACAGAUACCUAUGGUGGACAUAUCUAUUGUCUGGAUUCAAGAUCUAGUUAAUUACUCUAGAUCUAGCAUUAAGCAUAAUCAAAGAUGAAGAAUUCUACAGAUAACCUAGCAAAGGGGAAAAA
rnacentral:sRNA from 1 species